CAGUAUUGAAAAUUCGUACAUGUGAGUAUAACGACGUUCAUAGCAGUUCAUAACGAAGUAAUCUCACUGUAGAUUUAAAUCUCACUGUAGGUUUAAAAUCGUGAACAAGCGGACAAAUUAACAUUACAAAAAUUACUACGAUCAUCGAAUGGGAUAAGCGUAAACGAUCGCGUUGUUUUACCUCCGCUCGGGUUAAAAAAAAGUCGUGUAACGUUCGAUUUGCACCACCGAUGGCAGAUCACGACAAUAUUUACGACGACGAGGAGCUAGUUUCAACUAAUCCAAAUCAAAGGAAUUGGCGUGGAAUUUUAAUAGCGUUGCUCGUAAUCGUUGCGGUCCUAGCCCUUAUUGUCACAUCCGUUGCUUUGCUCACGCCUCCUGAUGAUGGCCCCAGAGUACGAGGAACACGAUUGCGUCUCUCUGAAGUGCUGUCUGGGGAAUUAUCUCCUUUAUUAUUCAAUGGAUCCUGGGCGAGUAAUCACCAUAUAUGUUAUCGAGAUCUGUGGGGUGGAAUCUCCUUAUUAGACGUUUCUAAGAUUGAGUCACGUAGUUUAAUGCCAAAUGAAACAUUUAGACGAUUAAAUCCAGCAAAAUUCUCGUUAUCGCCAGAUCAUAAAUUUCUGCUCCUUGCUCAAAAUGUGAAAAAAUUGUUUCGUUACUCGUACUUAGCGCAAUAUGUCAUUUAUGAUCUCACUACACGAGAAUGUAUAGUGUUGACGCCUUAUCCUGAGAAAGAUGUUCAUCCCUAUCUUUUAUUAGCGCAAUGGACUCCACGUGGACACGGACUUGUCAUGGUACAGGAUUAUGACAUCUAUUACAGGACAAGUCCUAUGAGCAAUACUGGAUACCGUGUAACAAACACUGCGGUACCUGGUAUAUUAUCCAAUGGUGUUCCAGAUUGGCUGUAUGAAGAGGAAAUAUUGCAUAGUGGAGAAGCAAUCUGGAUGUCGCCAGAUGGUCAUAUGAUACUUUAUGCCUCGUUCAAUGAUUCUCUCGUAGAAGAAAUGCACAUUUCAUGGUUUGGAGAGGGGAACAAAGCUUUGUAUCCUGAUAUACGAUCUCUACGAUACCCUAAGCCAGGAACACCAAAUCCUUCUGUACGGUUGUAUGUUGCUGAUUUAGUUGAGCCAAAAAGUAUUCGUACGAAAAUAGUGAAACCACCUCCAAUCAUCGAAAAUGUGGAUCAUUACUUCUCGACCGUUUCCUGGGUAUCUCUAACAGAAGUCUGUAUAACAUGGUUAACGCGCGCUCAAAAUUUCUCAAUAAUUACCAUCUGUAAAAGCCCAAUGUGGCAUUGUCAGGAAAUACAAAGAAUAUUGGGUGAUGGUCAUGGAUGGGUAGAUACUCCCCCGGAAGCUCCUAUUUUCUCAGCCAAUGGUAGUACUUACAUCGCAAUAAGUCCCGUAAAAGACGGACCGGCAGGAUAUUACAAGCACAUAAUCUGGGCUAACGUGCUUCGGAAACAAAUAGUGCCUUUGACACAUGGGAAAUUUGAAGUCGUUAGGAUUUUAGUAUGGGACCAAGUGAAUAAUACUAUAUAUUUCAUCGGCAUUCCAUUUAUGAGACCGGGUCAGAGACAUCUUUAUCGUGUAAGCUCUACUCUUCCUCGUAUGGGAUCGCCUUUACGCCCUGCUAUAUGUCUCACAUGCACCACUUCAUCUGAUAUAAUAAAUAAUGGUGAAAGUGAACAUAGAACUAGUUCUUCAAAUUGGGAGAAUGGUCUUACCAAUCGAAAUGAAUGGCAUGAACACUAUGAAAUUCAAAUUGAUAAUAUCAACAAUAAGGAACAUCGCCAAGCGAAGGACAUUUCCAAAAAGGACAAAUUAAGAAAUAGGAAUGUAUUAAAAAGCGGUGACCCUCCUUGUCAGUAUCACAAUGUUAUCUUCCCAUCCGACGGCUUUGAGUAUUUCGUUCUUGAGUGCCUUGGACCUGGUAUACCUACCGUGUCUCUUUAUAAGAUGGAAAUGUCUAUGCCGCGACUCAUCGCAACAUUGCAGAACAACACAUUGUUGCGUGAAAAAAUAACAAGCAUCGCUCUUCCGCAAAUAAAAACAUUUCCUGUGCAAAUAAGUGGCGGCUACAACGCUCAAGUGAGAUUGCAUCUACCACCCGGAUUGAGAGAAGAUGAGAUUACCCGUUAUCCGUUGGUCGUCCAGGUAUAUGGUGCUCCUGGAUCACAACUAGUCACUGAGAUGUUUAAAAUAGAUUGGAAUACAUAUUUAGCUAGUCAGAAAAAUAUUAUUGUUGCACAAAUAGAUGGCAGAGGAAGUGGAGGACAAGGUUACAAGUUGCUUCAUGAAGUUUAUUAUAGGCUAGGUUCUGUUGAAGUGGCCGAUCAACUCGAAGUUACAGAUUUUUACGAUUAUAUUAUCUACACGGAAAAAAAUUUUUCAUCGCGGCAGUUAAUCAUGGUUUGCUGAAACUGUAUUUGCUGCUGCAGCAAAAGAAAUUGCUAUUGUUAUUACUACAUCGUUUCCUUUGCAAAGUGUACUAGUCUACUGUGAUCAUAUUGAUUACAAAAUUUUGCUAUUCUAGCUAACAGAUACUUAAGAGACUCAUUGCAUUUUGUGGAUAAACGAAGAGUCGCCGUAUGGGGAUGGAGUUAUGGUGGUUUCGUUG
rnacentral:misc_RNA from 1 species